rnacentral:rRNA from 1 species
UAUAAUUUUAUUGCUAGGUCAUUAUUAAUAUAAAUGAGAAGCAUAUAAAUUUUAAUUGGGGUGAUUAAGGAAUAAUUUUUGAUUAAUAACUUCCUUAUAUUGAAUUUUGUUAGGUAAAGUAACCAAUAUAGUAUUGCUUAUAAUAUAGUUACCAU